GGUUAGAUCAGGCUGAAAGCACUAGUUCUCGUUCGAUUAUCGAAGUUAAGCAACGUCGAGCUUGGUCAGUACUUAGAGUGGGGACAGCUUGGGAACAUCG